rnacentral:rRNA from 1 species
UACGAAGGGGGCUAGCGUUGCUCGGAAUCACUGGGCGUAAAGCGCACGUAGGCGGAUCUUUAAGUCAGGGGUGAAAUCCUGGAGCUCAACUCCAGAACUGCCUUUGAUACUGAGGAUCUUGAGUCCGGGAGAGGUGAGUGGAACUCCGAGUGUAGAGGUGAAAUUCGUAGAUAUUCGGAAGAACACCAGUGGCGAAGGCGGCUCACUGGCCCGGUACUGACGCUGAGGUGCGAAAGCGUGGGGAGCAACAGG